rnacentral:rRNA from 1 species
AUUGAACGCUGGCGGCAUGCUUUACACAUGCAAGUCGAACGGCAGCGCGGGCUUCGGCCUGGCGGCCGGUGGCGAACGGGGGAGUAAUGCAUCGGAACGUGCCCAGUAGUGGGUGGUAGCCGGUCGAAAGCCCGGUUAAUACCGCAUACGCCCUGAGGGUGCAAGCGGGGGUCCGACAGGCCUGGCGCUAUUGGAGCGUCCGAUGUUGGCUUAGCAAGUUGGUGGGGUAAAGGCUUACCAAGGCGACGAUCCGCAGCUGGUCUGAGAGGACGACCAGCCACACUGGGACUGAGACACGGCCCAGACUCCUACGGGAGGCAGCAGUGGGGAAUUUUGGACAAUGGGGGCAACCCUGAUCCAGCCAUGCCGCGUGAGGGAAGAAGGCCUUCGGGUUGUAAACCGAUUUUGUUCGGGAAGAAAUCAUCUGGGCUAAUACCCCAGGGGGAUGACGGUACCGGAAGAAUAAGCACCGGCUAACUACGUG